GCACGGGUGCGGAGUGGGGACCCGGGGAGACCCUGCGGAGCUUGGACUGGGAUUCGAGCCCUGCCGUGGGAAGGGUGCCACGGGGUUGGCUGGACGCCCCCAAACAUUCCAGAUGUGGUCGAGAGAACCUUCCUGGACACGCCCAGGCGAGGCCAGGCCCCAGAGUACACUUCACGGAACUCCUGAAUUCCAAUCCUGCCCCACCCUUCCCCGCUGGGUGACCUUGGUCUGCUGUGAUGGAGAUUGGGGAGGAAGACCCUAACAGAUUUAAAAUGCCAUUCUCACCAGACAACAUCAGGGAUACAUGCUAUCAACAGGACUUAC